UUCGGGGAGCUUGCACAGGUGCUGCAUGGCUGUCGUCAGCUCGUGUCGUGAGAUGUUCGGUUAAGUCCGCUAACGAGCGCAACCCUCGCUGUGUGUUAUAUGUGUCACACGGGACUGCCGGUCUUAAGCCGGAGGAAGGUGGGGAUGAUGUCAAGUCAGUAUGGCCUUUAUAUCCUGGGCUACACACACGCUACAAUGGCCAACACAAUAGGUUGCUAAGCCGCGAGGUGGCGCCAAUCCAUAAAGUUGGUCUCAGUUCAGAUUGUAGGCUGCAACCCGCCUGCAUGAAGAUGGAGUUGCUAGUAACCGCAGGUCAGCUAUACUGCGGUGAAUACGUUCCCGGGGCUU
rnacentral:rRNA from 1 species